CGAGUACUCCCUCCGUUCGGAAUUACUUGUCACAAAAAUGGAUGUAUCUAUAACUAAAAUACAUCUAGAUACAUUCAUUUUUUGGACGAGUAAUUCUGAACAGAGGGAGUAGCUU
rnacentral:pre_miRNA from 1 species